ensembl:Mt_tRNA
GUCCAAGUAAUUUAACUAAAAUACUGGCCUUGUAAGCCAACUAUGAAGGUAAACUCCUUCCUAGGACC